UACGUAGGGUGCAAGCGUUAAUCGGAAUUACUGGGCGUAAAGCGUGCGCAGGCGGUUAUGUAAGACAGAUGUGAAAUGCCCGGGCUUAACCUGGGAACUGCAUUUGUGACUGCAUGGCUAGAGUUUGGCAGAGGGGGGUGGAAUUCCACGUGUAGCAGUGAAAUGCGUAGAGAUGUGGAGGAACACCGAUGGCGAAGGCAGCCUCCUGGGCCAGCACUGACGCUCAUGCACGAAAGCGUGGGGAGCAAACAGG
rnacentral:rRNA from 1 species